rnacentral:lncRNA from 1 species
AUUCCCUUAGGACAAUAAUUUUCAAGAUCGUUGGCGCAGUUUUCACAAGACCGACACGAUUCGCAAUAUCCCCCCACAACAACUUUAUCCCCGAAUUUGAACUUCUCUACCUUGCCACCAACCUUAGUUACUUCGCCUACAAUCUCAUGUCUGAAUCCAUCAAAUAACUAUAAGAGAUCGUUUGGUACGAUGAAUAAGGAAAAAUACUAAUUCUAGGUUAAGUUAUCAUAGGAUUAAAAAUAGUACAAAAAUAACUUAUACCUGAGGGUGGAAUAAUAAUCCAAUGAUAACUAAUACCACGAUAAAACAAUAAAAAUGACAAUCGCAGGAAUAAUUCAAUAUACUACCAACUAGUCAAUAAGAAAUAAUACCAGGAUAACUAAUCCUGGUAUUAUCCCAUCAUAACUAAUUCCAACAUAACUUGUCUUCAAACCAAACGACCCCUAAGAGUUAGAACUCAAACUUUUAAUAUG